AGAGCAAGUAACGUCUAAAUUAACUUUUUUUUGCUGAUGAACUGUAUAAAUGAGUGUCUAAUAGUGUUUUAAAUGUGUGCAUUCUUUAUUUUAGCAUUUUGGUGCAUUUUCUUUAAAAAUUAAAAAUUCUGUCUAAAAACCACAGUAAUGCGCCACCUUCAGCUGAAAACAUAGAAUUUGAGUCAUUUUGAAUAAAUUUUAGCCAAUGGCUAAAGAGUAAAGUACUACGUAAACCAGUAGAGUACUACGUAGCAGCUCCGUGCCAAAGUUAUAAAAGCAACGAGCGUCUCGGCCACGCCCUGUAGCGAGUGGGAGUUGGAUUUGCAAGCGAGUGUAGGAGGUCAGCGGUAGUUCAGCAUUAGCAUAUAGCAUUAGCAUAUCCUAGUCUUUAGCAUAUCUUUUAGUGUUAUACAUACUUAUUUAGUGUUAGCUUGGCUGUUGUAUAUUGUAGUUUAGUUAGUGUUUGGCUGUUAGUGUAAUUGGGAAAGUAUUUCGGGUUUAGUGUUCCAUAUCGUCUUAGUAUUGGUGAGUAGGUGUAGUGUAGUAUGGUUGCGGUGACUCUGUGGGCAUUUUACCCGCGAUUCUGCACGCCUCCGUUUGAAGAGGGAGGCUGUGCCCACCGUGGCUCUUCCGCGAUUUAGAUGCAGCCCACCGACUCUGCUCCCCCACCACGGCGGGCUCCAGUCUGAGGUGAGUCAGCUAAAUAAACGUUUUAACAUCUUCUAAAGACAAUUCCCUACCUAAAUGCAAAGUCUGAGAGACGUGGUUCACUUCCUUUAGCUAGUCAGUCGGCAAUUCUGCAACAGUGGCUCUAACUAACGCAGCACUAGUUGACAGCAUUACAGCGUGAAAUCCAGCUUGUGACCCGGUUCUGUGAGGAAUUCUGUUCAGGAGGUCGCAUUUCAGGCUCUCCACAUCAUAUGUGACUGACUUUUACGUUAUGACAACGAUCACACACUAGGAAUGUUAUAAAGCGCCUAUAUAGGAGAUUCUUUUGUAUAUUAUCUGACUUUAUAAACUCCCAACAACAAUGUGCUUCUAUUUUUUUUUCAGGCUAAAUCUACCCAAGACACUGGCUGUCAGACUGAUUUAGCUGCAAGAAUGCACUUGUCCAGGCUGACGUGAAACCUUCCCUGUAGCAAAGCCAGCCAGAAUGGAGUUCACAGCCGCAGUGUGUCUGGUGACCCACGGGGACCAUGAUGAAAAUUCAUCUUCCAGAAGGUCCCAGAGCGUCCUGCUCACCUGAAAAGACCAAGAUGUAAGGUGUCUGCUGUUGAUUCCAGCUUCCACCUCAGUGACAGUGCAAGCUCAGUGAACUGUUCAAGGACACUCAGCAAAAUAUGGACUCUACACCAUGAGGCAUGCACACAUUAAUAUUCUAUAAGAGCACAUAAGGUGAGCAACACCACAUAUUGUACACUGUCCUGAAUUUGUUUUCUUUCUGCAUCUCAUUAGCCUGGCUGAUCACCUGAUAACCCCUGUCAUCUGGUUAUGACAGCAUGAGGAUGUCCUCACACACCUGUAACCUAUCAGAUCAUCUGGCAGAAUAGAGAGAGAAGAGACAACACCACAUCUCCUGUUCCUGGAAAGCCUUCAGCCAUCCUUCGAUGACUGAGAACCUCCAUCAGCUCUGUCUACUGUCUGCCUACAAUUAUUAUAAUAAAUAUUGUGUUUGACAAGUGUUUUGUGCUGCCAAAUAUCUCAUUUAGAUUCCAGUUUUGAUAUUUUAAUGGAUAUUUAUAAAUUACAUUGAAUAUCACAUUUUUGUUGCAUGUUUAACUAGCUCUAUUGUGAUUAAUUAAACUAGCACCUCACUGUUAAAAGCUCGUUCUAAUUUCAAGCAUGUUUAAGUAUUUAUGGACAUGAACAAAAACAGGAAAUAUAUAUAUUGAGAUUUAUUUAAUUAAUAUAACAAAUAAGGGGGAAAGAGUCAUUGAAAGGCACAUUCUUCUGGAAGCUCCUGAUCCUGAGGACACCAGCAGAGACCAGCUGCAGACACCAGAGGACCUAGAACCGAGAGAGCAGCUGUUAUUAGUAAAUAAAUAAAGAAAUCAGGGCAGUUUUAGUGGGCUGAACACAUUACAGAAUGAUUUUCUCAUGGGGUAUUUUCAUAACUUUAUAUGCAGCAGACUGUAACUUGAGCCCAGGGCUACCGGAGAGCUGCUAUCCAGCAUGUUUCAGUGGAUUUUCCUGCUUUAACAGGUUAGAUUAGCUGUUAAGCAGCUCAGCUAUUUGUUGCUGAUUAAAACCAGGUGUGCUGAAGCAGAUAAACCUCUAAAACAUGCUGAAUACUAGCUUUUUAGGGCCGUGGAGACAAACCCUGCAGCUAAUCCAAUGCUAUGGCUAACGGCUACUUACCUUUCAGAGGUGAUUCUGUUGGGUCGGUUCUGGGAGUUUCAGGCAACUCACAAGCUCAAAACAAUAAGACUCAGGUCCGCUUGUCUCCUCCAAAUAGACUUGGUCCCUUUCUUCUCGAGUGUCUGUGUAAGGAGGGGGAGAAACGUCCUCCACUUCUAUCAACUGCUCAGAGUGAAGGGAGCUAGCUUCAUCUAGUUAGCCAUCGUCUUCGUCACUGCCGCGGCUCCGCCCUCUCGGUCCUCCAGGCAACGCCUACUAAUGUUGCAUUUUUUAAAAUUGAUACGUGGGUGGAGAAGGACUCCGAGGCUCAAUUGACCCGCUCUUUAAAGAGAAACGAUUUACACA